rnacentral:rRNA from 1 species
GACGAACGCUGGCGGCGUGCCUAAUACAUGCAAGUUGAGCGCUGAAGGUUGGUACUUGUACCAACUGGAUGAGCAGCGAACGGGUGAGUAACGCGUGGGGAAUCUGCCUUUGAGCGGGGGACAACAUUUGGAAACGAAUGCUAAUACCGCAUAAAAACUUUAAACACAAGUUUUAAGUUUGAAAGAUGCAAUUGCAUCACUCAAAGAUGAUCCCGCGUUGUAUUAGCUAGUUGGUGAGGUAAAGGCUCACCAAGGCGAUGAUACAUAGCCGACCUGAGAGGGUGAUAGGCCACAUUGGGACUGAGACACGGCCCAAACUCCUACGGGAGGCAGCAGUAGGGAAUCUUCGGCAAUGGACGAAAGUCUGACCGAGCAACGCCGCGUGAGUGAAGAAGGUUUUCGGAUCGUAAAACUCUGUUGGUAGAGAAGAACGUUGGUGAGAGUGGAAAGCUCAUCAAGUGACGGUAACUACCCAGAAAGGGACGGCUAACUACGUG